GUGUCAGCAGCCGCGGUAAUACGUAGGAUCCAAGCGUUGUCCGGAUUUACUGGGUGUAAAGGGUGCGCAGGCGGAAUGGUAAGUCAGAGGUGAAAUCUCAUCGCUCAACGGUGAAACUGCCUUUGAUACUAUCAUUCUUGAGUCCGAUAGAGAUCUGUGGAAUUCCGAGUGUAGCAGUGAAAUGUGUAGAUAUUCGGAAGAACACCAGUGGCGAAGGCAGCAGAUUGGGUCGGUACUGACGCUCAGGCACGAAAGCAUGGGGAUCAAACAGGAUUAGAAACCCCCGUAGUCC
rnacentral:rRNA from 1 species